CUAGGUAUAUGCGCUCGCCUAUCAAAUCGCGCCCCAUCAUCGGGGCCGGUUGUUGUUGCUUCUGUUGUCCGCAACUUGGCACGCUUAGCUGCGAACAGAAAUGCAACUCAGUGUAAACAAAACCACGGUGACUGGCGCUAGGGCAAAAUUUUCAGUUGUUAAGCUCUUCGGUUUUUGCGUUUGAAUCCGGUCGCGUUCUGGUGCAGUGAAGAAGGCCCCCCAGUGCAGUUUGUUUGCUCUCAGCUAAUCCACGGUGCACCGAAGGCAGGGGUCGAAGUUUCAGUGCACGCUUAGAACCAGCAUAAUGCUCUCGUUUAAGACAAUGGCACUGAUGGCAACGUCGAUAAUUAGCGGUGCGGUCGCAGCGGCUCAUCUCAAUCCCACCCAAGGACAGACCGGAAAUGGAUCAAUUGUCUUGUCAAACAGCCACUUCGAAGUGAUGGAUCUGAUGGUGAAGAAGUUUUUUCGCGAUCGUGAUCACGUUCUUCUACCUCAUUCAGCUGGUGCGCUUUCUGUCGAUUCCGCUGCGCACGCGGCUGGAAGAAACUGAGGAAGUGCGACGCGUCAAGCGGCUCUUCAUGAUGGUGGUUAGAGCGUUCAUGGCCGCUGGUUAGCACAACAUGUAGCGACAGCAACGACGACGACGACUCCUUCGGACGGCGCUUUCCAGAGCGUUCAAUAAAUAUUACCGGCCAGCUCCGACUAGUCAACGCCGCCGACGUCGGCCGUCCCUGCGUGUAGUUAGUGCCACUAAAAUUGACCCACUGUCGAGCCAUUACCGACCACCAUUAGGUUUACUCGAGCACCGAUCGCACCACGCGGACGCGGAGGAACGAGAGCUGGGAUGGAUGGUAAGCUAAAAAAAACCUGUGGUGGCCGAAAAACAACAACCACUAUUUUGCCUUGAUGCGAGCGCCACACAACUGUUAAAGGCUGUUGCAAGCUGUGAUGAAACGAUUUUCUGUUCCAUUCGGUGCAUUGGUAUGGUAUCGAAACUUGGAGACUGGUAGGUAGAUUGCGCUAAAAUGCCUCGAACGGCAUUCCAUUACUCGAGUUAGCAAUAGAAUAAAGACUGUUCGAGAGGAAAUCGGAUACGGAAACUUGUUUGUAAGUUUUUGUGGUGUUGAUUGUAGGGUAUGUGUGCCAUCAGUAAUCUCAUGCUCCCAUAUUUAUCCUAUUCGAUAACAAGCGAUUACGGCACCGAUUGAUUCCGUUCUUUUUGUUUUCAUGUGUGCUCACUUCUAACAAAAAUACAAAAAUAGAAAACAAAACAAAACGCUUCAAUCUUUUGUUUUUCGUAGGAUGAAAAUGGGAGCCACAUGCUUAAUAAGGGAAUCAAUAUCCUAUAUUAGAUUAUUUUAAUUAAAGUGCAAAACAAACUCAAUAGGUAUUAAUACUAUGUGCGCUAGACACGAUUUUUUUUGAAAUUUCAUCCGUUUCAACAUUGAGAGACGCGAAAUACCAAAAUAAAAUAUUCUCAAAUAAAUUUCCGUGUCCACUAUUUCUUUUGAUUCGCUGCUCAUUGUGGUGAUAUGUACCGAUUAGACCAAAAUUUACUUUAUCAUUGUUUUCAGAAUGAUGCUUUCUUUGUUUCAUGUGCAUAUCAAAUAUUGAAUGCAUAGCACAGAGGAAUGAAUUUCAAUAAACUAUGUAAUCAAGGGCAUCAUAGUAAUCAGAUGUACACUAUAGUAAUGCAUUGAUCGACUUUCUUUAAAACGCAUAAAAAUCAGUAAAUUAGCUAGCAUUCUCCCAUUUAUAAGUGAUAUUUGAAAAACAUGCAAUCAUAUAUCAUAAAGUAACUUGGAGCCAUUGUGACAUACAGUUACUAGAGUAAGAUAAAACUAUAAACCCAAACAGGUACUGCGCCGACACAUCACGUACGAAGUACGUGCUGCGUACGACCGCGCGCAUAAAGAUGACGAUUGGAUCAAUGCAAUGUAGCAAGAAAAUGAUGCAACGCGUACACAGUACGCUGUAUCCAAUUUUUGAUUAUUUAUCACGUUGAUCCCUCUUAUAGCGUAUAGUUAGUUCACUGUACCACACUCACUAUAUCAGUCAACGCGGGGAGGAAGGCAAAGUCCUCUUCUCCGCGUAUGUGUGUUAAUCGCGUAGCGUAAAGGUAGGUAGGUAAUCGGGCGGGCGGUCAGCAGUUGUAUACCUACAUUUAGCUGGGCUAAUAGUGGCUGCAAUCCAAUGUUGAACAAAUUGUGAGUGAGCAAGCUGCUUGCUUGAGCGAUAGAAAACGCAAAUAAAGCCCCGAUUUGUGAUAUGAUGUAAUGUUACAACCGUU